rnacentral:lncRNA from 1 species
UUUAACAUAAUUGAGUCUCAUACCAAGCACCUGAUUAUAGAUCUCAUCAUCUAUGGGUAUGGUCGAGCCCUCAGGGGUAGGCUGGGAUCUGAUGCCUAUCAUACGAUCUUAAAAAUUAAAGUUAUAGAUAUUUUAAUUUCAUACUGAAAAUCAAACUAUGAAUGAAAAAAUAAUUGAAAAAAUUUAUAAAAUGCUCCUACCUCC